GGCCCUUGCAAAACGACAUUGCCGCACAUCCUGUGAACAAGAAGUCUCAAAUUUUCCACGUAAUUUUGUGAUCAAAAAAAAAAAAAAGGAAAACCUUUAAACCUUAAGCCCUGUUUCGGGAAAAUGAUGCUUUGAAACGUCUUAGACCCCAAUUACCUAGACUGGUAUCCAUAUAUUUUAAACUGGUCAUGUGACAAUACGUCUCUCUACACCUUAGUAAUGACAGGUAAGGAGUAUUAUGGUUUGAUUUUUACGGUGUCCCGUGCGAUGAGAUAAGUCACCAGGAUUUAAACUUCUCUUAGGCGGAGUCUGUUUGUUACAAAUAAUAAUAUCUAUACUUCACUCA